GGCUGAAACUUAAAGAAAUUGACGGAAGGGCACCACCAGGGGUGGAACCUGCGGCUUAAUUUGACUCAACACGGGGAAACUCACCAGGUCCAGACACAGUGAGGAUUGACAGAUUGAGAGCUCUUUCUUGAUUCUGUGGGUGGUGGUGCAUGGCCGUUCUUAGUUGGUGGAGUGAUUUGUCUGCUUAAUUGCGAUAACGAACGAGACCUUAACCUGCUAAAUAGCCCGUACUGCUUUGGCAGUUCGCCGGCUUCUUAGAGGGACUAUCGGCUCAAGCCGAUGGAAGUUUGAGGCAAUAACAGGUCUGUGAUGCCCUUGAAUGUCCUGGGACGCACGCGCUUGACGCUGACAGAGCCAGCGAGUAUUUCCUGGACCGGAAGGUCCGGGUAAUCUUGUUAAACUCUGUCGUGCUGGGGAUAGAGCAUUGCAAUUAUUGCUCUUCAACGAGGAAUCCCUAGUAAGCGCAAGUCAUCAGCUUGCGUUGAUUACGUCCCUGCCCUUUGUACACCCCGCCCGUCGCUACUACCGAUUGAAUGGCUCAGUG
rnacentral:rRNA from 1 species